rnacentral:rRNA from 1 species
GACGAACCGAGCGAACGUUGUUCGGAAUCACUGGGCUUAAAGGGCGCGUAGGCGGGUUUGCAAGUCCGGGGUGAAAUCCCACAGCUCAACUGUGGAACUGCCUCGGAUACUGUGAGUCUCGAGGGUGGCAGGGGUAUGCGGAACUAUCGGUGGAGCGGUGAAAUGCGUUGAUAUCGAUAGGAACUCCGGUGGCGAAGGCGGCAUACUGGUCCACUUCUGACGCUGAGGCGCGAAAGCCAGGGGAGCAAACGGG